CUGGUCUCUCGCCAAUACCCACGGCUUUGGACAGGUGCUCCAGGCUUUGUCCUUGCGCUGGGCCUUUGCUGGGGCAGCCAGCAACCUGGCUUCUCAGAGACCUCGGUCUAGUAGGGGCCCUGUGUGAUCAGAUGGGGCUGGGAGAAUUUUCCGGAGGAGGAAAUCCUUGAGUGGGGCCUUGGAGCAUGAGUGGAGAUAAGUGGAGUAUGAAAGGGAUCUCGGAUCAGAGAAAGGAUGUGGGACAAAGGCUUAAGGCAG
rnacentral:lncRNA from 1 species